UAGCCGUUGGUUCCGUGACGACGGCUGCAGCAUCCAUUGAGAAGUCUUCUCUGUACUGAGCUUUUAGAGAGUGAAGUAAGCGUUGUUUUGGAAAUGUUACGCGAUUUUCGAAGUCAAGUACGAGCCAGAAAUAUAACAGCAGUAUUAUUUAUUGGUGCAAAUAUCGCAAAAGUGAAGUGGAAGUUGCCUUGUCUUCAAGGAGAACUAAUUCGGCAUGAAAAGACAAGUAGUAAAUGCUACUGUGUGGUGAGUAUUUGAAAAUACAAAAAAGUAGCUUGAUGAAGACGGAAUUCCUCCUCCCCCAGUUGGAGGAAAAGAUGACAGACCAAUAAGAAGCUGGGACAGGCCCUAAGGGCUUAAGUCCAGGUGUUACGCAUAGUUUGCCAUGGAGGACCAAUGAAGUUCUUGUCUGCUUGACCAGACGCGUAGAGUGUAGUGUCUAAAUAUGUGGUUAUCAGUAAGAUCUGAUUUUAAGAAGAUGAAACUAUUCCGCCUGCAAGUCUGCAUGACCAAGUUGAUGAGAGUGAAGUUUCAGAUAGUAAAAAGAAAAUUGUAUGAUUUGGAAUACACGUUCGUGUGUUGC